UCUUUAAUGGAGAGUUUGAUCCUGGCUCAGGACGAACGCUGGCGGCGUGCCUAAUACAUGCAAGUCGAGCGGGGUUAUGUAGAAGCUUGCUUCUACAUAACCUAGCGGCGGACGGGUGAGUAACACGUAGGCAACCUGCCCACAAGACAGGGAUAACUACCGGAAACGGUAGCUAAUACCCGAUACAUCCUUUUCCUGCAUGGGAGAAGGAGGAAAGACGGAGCAAUCUGUCACUUGUGGAUGGGCCUGCGGCGCAUUAGCUAGUUGGUGGGGUAAAGGCCUACCAAGGCGACGAUGCGUAGCCGACCUGAGAGGGUGAUCGGCCACACUGGGACUGAGACACGGCCCAGAC
rnacentral:rRNA from 1 species